AGAAGAUGUAGGAGGUCUUUUUCCAAGAUUGUAGGACUCCUGGUCCUGGUAAACUACACGGAUUGGGUAGCACAGCUUUCUGCAGGAUGCAGGGAUCUUCACUGUUUUUUCCAAAGUACAACACAACUGGAAAUGCAUCAUCACAUCAGCUCUGAAUAAACAAGUAACUGCUCUGUAGGAAACUUAAAUCUGACUUAAGUUAAAACCUGGAAAGUUAGUCUUCUAGAAAUGGACUUGUUAAAAAUAAAACCAGCAACGAAACUAUAAAGUAACUGAGUUGUAAAUCACCUUUUGGAUUAAUUGCAACAUAUUGAUCAGGAAGUUGGUUUUAAUUUAAGGUGCAUAUUGCACUGUUGGAUAAUAUAAAAUUGAAAUGUUUUAAAUCUGCUAUACUUUGGGUUACAUUGUCACAAACAGUCUUUGUAUAACUUUUAUAAAGCCUGAAAAUACAACUUUGUAAAACACUUCUGAGUGAGGAUGCAAGUCUUAUUUUAAAUACUUCUGCUCUUUUGCUUUUAGAAAAACAUAAGUAAUACUUGUAAAAUAAAGGUUUUAUUUUAGACAGUGAUGGAAGUGGUACAUAUAAUCUUAGCUGUACAUACUGUGCAUGUCUUUGUACAGGAGGCCCCUACUUGUAUUUGUUUUGGCCAAUUUUUAUGUAUGAUCUAAAAUAAAAAUCCUUGGCUAGCAAGCAUUUUGUUGGCAGUAGCUGCACAUAGCAUUUACAUCUAGCAUACCAUAACUGCAGCCUUAAUGGUUUGUCCUGUUCAUGGCUUGUAAACUUGGAAGUUUUCCACAUAAGUUUCUGAGAACUUGUUAAUUCCCAGAAGUAGAUAUGAAAAAUUAAGGUAGGGAUCAGUGAAAUUCUUAGAUGGUUAUAUGACUACACACGGAAAGCAAUGUUAUUCUAUGCUAUAAAGACAGGAUUUGAAUAGAUGCCUGUCAAAAUCUGAAGUUUGCUGAAAACCAAAGAACAGAUUCAUUGUCAUUAUGGUCUUGCAAUAGAUUCUAAGUGAUAGAAGAUCAGCUUCUAAGAAGAGUUGCACCUCUUAAAGAGCACAAUCUUACUGCUUUUUGGAAGUGCUUUAGCACAGAGCUGUGUCCUUGCAGAACUUGGCAUGCUCCUAAGCAAUGGCCUUAUUGUUAAACCAGUCAUAGAGGGUCCAGCCUAAGAUGUGCAGUUCCCUCUGGAGGACAGUGACUACAGUUUACCUUUUAAAGGUCUCAAAAAGACCUGAUUUUUGCCAGUGUAGUAUUUCUCAACAGUGCAGCAGAGAGGCAGUUGUCUCAUCCAUUAGCAGUAUGAUGGGUGAAGGAGGUCAUUAGUCCUCAAGAAUUACUGUCUGCUACAGGAUCAGCAGGGAGUCUCACUGUUCACUGUGCAUGGGGCAAACAGCCAGCAAGAGCAGUUACAGUUAGGGAAAGUGAAUUUUCAGCAUGUUUGCCUCACUCACAUCUUCUGUCUCUGUUUUGUAUAUCACACAAAGAAGCAGGCAACCCAACUGCUGACGUGUGAUGUUUAAAAGAAAACUGAAAGAACGUAUUUCCUGUGCAAUGCAGUAGAAUCUUUAUUAAACAUUUGUAGUCAAUAAACACUUCAAAAUAAAAGUGAUAUACCUCUGAGGUGUGACUUGCAUAGCAUUUUAGUUUGAUUUCCUUUAAAUAUGAUAGGUAUUUUAUCAGAAUAUGUAAAAGCUACACCUUAAGGACUAAAUUCUUACUGCAUAUAGAAGUGACAGAAUAAAGCAGAACUGUUUCUCAGUCACCAGUGAGGUGAAGUAUUGCUUUUCAGAAUGCCAGACAUGCCAGACAUGUAAGGAAAACUACUAUAGUUUCCUUUGCUGAUAAAAGGAAUUGGCUUUGUUUAAAACUUUUCAUUAGAGCCAGUAACAGUGCUUAUUAACAGAAACAUAAUGUUUUAAGAAUGU